AAGUAGAACGCUGACGAUUGAAAGCUUGCUUUUAAUCUGAUGAGUUGCGAACGGGUGAGUAACACGUGGGUAACCUACCUCUUAGCGGGGGAUAACACUUGGAAACAGGUGCUAAUACCGCAUAACAGCAUUAACCGCAUGGUUGAUGUUUGAAAGGCGCUUUCCAGCGUCACUAAGAGAUGGACCCGCGGUGCAUUAGCUAGAUGGUGAGGUAACGGCUCACCAUGGCGAUGAUGCAUAGCCGACCUGAGAGGGUGAUCGGCCACAUUGGGACUGAGACACGGCCCAAACUCCUACGGGAGGCAGCAGUAGGGAAUCUUCGGCAAUGGACGCAAGUCUGACCGAGCAACGCCGCGUGAGUGAAGAAGGUUUUCGGAUCGUAAAACUCUGUUGUUAGAGAAGAACAAGUGUGAGAGGAAAUGCUCAUACCUUGACGGUAUCUAACCAGAAAGCCACGGCUAACUACGUGCCAGCAGCCGCGGUAAUACGUAGGUGGCAAGCGUUGUCCGGAUUUAUUGGGCGUAAAGCGAGCGCAGGCGGUUUCUUAAGUCUGAUGUGAAAGCCCCCGGCUCAACCGGGGAGGGUCAUUGGAAACUGGGAAACUUGAGUGCAGAAGAGGAGAGUGGAAUUCCAUGUGUAGCGGUGAAAUGCGUAGAUAUAUGGAGGAACACCAGUGGCGAAGGCGGCUCUCUGGUCUGUAACUGACGCUGAGGCUCGAAAGCGUGGGGAGCGAACAGGAUUAGAUACCCUGGUAGUCCACGCCGUAAACGAUGAGUGCUAAGUGUUGGAGGGUUUCCGCCCUUCAGUGCUGCAGCUAACGCAUUAAGCACUCCGCCUGGGGAGUACGACCGCAAGGUUGAAACUCAAAGGAAUUGACGGA
rnacentral:rRNA from 1 species